GACGAACGCUGGCGGCGUGCUUAACACAUGCAAGUCGAACGAAGUGGCGAACGGGAGAGUAACGCGUAAUCAACCUGCCCUUCAGAGGGGGAUAACAGUGGGAACUGACUGCUAAUACCGCAUACUGAAGGUGGGGAUUGGUUCUGAUUAGGUAGUUGGAGGGGUAACGGCCCACAAAGGCGAAGAUCAGUAGCCGGGCGUGAGGGAUGAACGGCCACAAUGGGACUGAGACACGGCCCAGACUCCUACGGGAGGCAGCAGUGGGGAAUCUGCCGCAAUGGACGAAAGUCUGACGGAGCAACGCCGCGGGAGUGAUGACGGCCUUCGGGUUGUAAAGCUCUGUUAAUCGGGACGCGGUACCGGAAUAGAAAGCCACGGCUAACUACGUGCCAGCAGCCGCGGUAAUUC
rnacentral:rRNA from 1 species